GUGCCACCUUUUUUUGUAUUUAAGAUUCCACUGCUAAUUUUAUAUUGCAGAAGAGAAAGUAAUAAGGCUUGACAGCCAUUGUCUUUCCGCAAACAGCACAGCCUUUAUCUCGGCAUUUCACAACCGUUCGGCAAACCAGAGCAAACACACUCAGUCCUGUUUUGCAGAUAAGGACCCGGAGAGCCCAGGUCGGGGAUGCGUUGUGCCACGCGUGCAGCCUGGAGCGCGUCCCCCGCGGCGGCUGGAACAGCAGCCACGCACAGCUGAGCUGCAGCAUCGGGAGAAAUGAGACCUUGGAUGAAGCUCCUGUCAGCAAUGAGUCUGAUCAAGCACUGUGUGCAUCUGACAGCCAGCUUGGCACCACCUCGCAGCAGCUGGGCUUCAAUGGAUUUCAUGUGCAAGUAGGCCUGAAAGACAUAUUAAUUUUUAAUUGAAUGUUUAAGUUUCAGGUGUAGGAGGUCUUCUUAAGAGACGUCUCAGUAAUAUGUAUGCUGCUAUGAAUGAAGAGGUAGGUCUUAAGCUAUGUGUUGUUGGUAAGCAAACCAAAACUCUCUACUGAGAAUAAAAAUAUAUAUAUACAUGUGUAUAUAUGUGUGUGUGUGUAUCCAUAUAAAAGUAUAUUUUUAAAGAAAGACAUCUGGCAGAAGUAACGCCUUUGCAGCAAUGAAAGCCUCCUGCCUUGCUCCAGUUUGCAUUCAGCGCUGUGGCAGUUUCAAAGACCUUGAUGGCUGGGGCAGCUGCGUGCAGGAGGAAGUCACAGACGUUGGUGCAAAGAGUUUCGAUCAGAAGGGAAAAAUCCUAAAAAUAAUGCCAUAAGCUAAUGCUGAUACGCAUGGAAAGAGCUUGGCAGAAUUACGUAAAGGAUUGAAUGGUAUGGUGUAGAUUUCUAUGCAGGGAAGGCUGGCUUGGUUUAUUUGUUUUGGUGGCGAAUAUCUAGGAAAAAGAGCCGAAGUGGAAGAGGACAUGAAGAGAGAGAGAGAGUGUUAAUGGUUUGGGCUCUGGAGAGAUAUGACUAGAAAAUUAAUUUUCCCUAUGGAAAGAAUUGCAUCUAUUUCACCACACGGUUUUUCAGCUAUUUAGCCCUCUUCAGAACAUACUGGCUUCCUAGCAAGCUUUUUAGGAGUUUGGCAGAAGGUAUGCAGAGCUGGACUUCGAUGCUACUCUCUUCUUUGUGGAUGCUUUCCUACAAAUGCUAAAAAAGCAACUCUGGAAUAUCAUAGCAUUUCUUCUCAUAGGCAUCUAUACAUGUUUUGUUAGUAAGCACCAUAUGUCACUCUUUAAACAGCCCAGUAUUGUAUUUACUGGGACCCGAGUGUAUGUGGUAAGUAACAUCACAGCUCCUGUAUGUGGUGUACCAGCUAUAAUUACACAAAACUUCAAUAAACAAGUCGUUUUAAUCAUUUCUCUCCCUUUCAGAAAUGUGUUUAUAUAUGUGUUGUUCUCUUACCCACAGUGAAGGAGUGUUUAGAACGUGUCAUUAAGGGUAACAGAUGUAUUUGAAUAAGGGCUUUUUUGGAUGUCUGACUGUUCAUUGGGAUAAGUCCUUGAAGAUAGGGCAGUUCUGAAAUGUGAAGGCAGCAUUAAAUAAAAAAUUUUUUUAAAACCCAAACAAACAACCCAUGCCACUCUCCCUGAGUGAAAACCUACAAUGGAAUGAAUCACCCUUUUAACUAAUUGCAAAAUUCUUUAGACAUGUUUCUCCUACAGCAACUGGGCCAGCUUUAGGCUGAUUGAUGGGGCUUGUGAAAUGAUCUUUAGGACCUUCCACUCUGAUCAAAAAAUCUUCCCAACUCCUAAUAGUCCAGCUGGCCUGGAGACAGACCGAGGGACAUCUUCAUAGAUCCUUGGGAUGCAUUCAAAAAUGCAGUCUUUCUUUUAGCAAUGUAAGUAUAUAUAAGUCUUUGGUACUUUUCCAGCCGCUCACUUAAACUUGACUUUGUAUUGAGCGCUAGGUGUGAAAGAAAUAUACAUGUCUUUAAAUCUUAACUAGAAAAGGAUUUUUGUUUAUUUAAUUUAGAAGCUGGCAUUCUGCCUUGUGCUUUUUCUACUUGCUAAUAGCAGGCAACUUCAAUCUCUGCCAGGUCCUGAGAACGGCUAGAGGCACUGAGUACACAAGAGGACGGGAUUUACACCUUUGCAUUUGGCUGACUUUGCCUAAUUUGGCAGAAAAAAAAUCUUUGGCAUUCCUGGUUUUAAGAAAUCUGCAAACUAAGCAAGGUUUGCUGAACUGUUGCCUGAUGUCUAGGAGUUGCUAAACUGUGAUAGCAUUUUGACAAUGAAAUGGCUAAAAUAGCACAAGCGUUGCUCCUGUUAUUUCUAAAACACCUUGGGACCAUCCUAGAAUUUACUUGCUUUUAUUUUCCUAAACAGUCUGGUACUAGAGACAAGGUUUGCAGUUAACAUUCAUCCCACGUGUUUUUCAUUAAUGCACAUAUUUGUUAAAUGCUUGUUCUGCUAAGAUACGUACUUGAUUUAAAAAACAAAAUAAAAUUGGAAAACUUU